rnacentral:rRNA from 1 species
GACGAACCGUGCGAACGUUGUUCGGAAUCACUGGGCUUAAAGGGCGCGUAGGUGGUCUGUCAAGUCGGGGGUGAAAUCUUUCGGCUCAACCGGAAAACUGCCUUCGAUACUGACAGACUAGAGGGAGGUAGGGGUUGCGGGAACUACCAGUGGAGCGGUGAAAUGCGUUGAUAUUGGUAGGAACGCCGGUGGCGAAAGCGCGCAACUGGAUCUCUUCUGACACUGAGGCGCGAAGCUAGGGAGCGAA